AUUGCCUACGGGACGCAGCAGUAGGGAAUCUUCCACAAUGGACGAAAGUCUGAUGGAGCAACGCCGCGUGAGUGAAGAAGGGUUUCGGCUCGUAAAGCUCUGUUGGUAGUGAAUAAAGAUAGAGGUAGUAACUGGCCUUUAUUUGACGGUAAUUACUUAGAAAGUCACGGCUAACUACGUGCCAGCAGCCGCGGUAAUACGUAGGUGGCAAGGGUUGUCCGGGUUUAUUGGGCGUAAA
rnacentral:rRNA from 1 species